rnacentral:ncRNA from 1 species
CCGGGAUGGACAGACCUCUAGUGUUCCGGUUGUCAUGCCAAUGGCAAUGCCGGGUAGCUAUGUCAGGAAGGGAUAAACGCUGAAGGCAUCUAAGUGUGAAACCCACCCCAAGAUUAGGUCUCCCGUGGAGUAAUCCACCUAAAGGUCUGUGGUAGACCACCACUUUGAUAGGCUGGAAGUGUAAGUGUAGCAAUGCAUUCAGCUGACCAGUACUAAUAGACCGUGAGGCUUGACCCU